CCUACGGGUGGCAGCAGUGGGGAAUAUUGCACAAUGGGGGAACCCUGAUGCAGCGACGCCGCGUGGGUGAAGGAGUACUUCGGUACGUAAAGCCCUAUCAGCAGGAAAGAAAAUGACGGUACCUGACUCAGAAGCCCCGGCUAACUACGUUCACACAGCCGCGGUAAUACGUAGGGGGCAAGCGGUAUCCGGAUUUACUGGGUGUAAAGGGAGCUUAGACGGCAGUGCAAGUCAGGAGUGAAAGCCCGGGGCUAAACCCUGGGACUGCUUUGGAAACUGUAAAGCUGGAGUGCGGGAGGGGCAGGUGGAAUUCCAGGUGUAGCAGUGAAAUGCGUAGAUAUUAGGAGGAACACCGGCGGCGAAGGCGGCCUGCUGGACCGUAACUGACGUUGAGGCUCGAAAGCGUGGGGAGCAAACAGGAUUAGAUACCCCAGUAGUC
rnacentral:rRNA from 1 species